UUUCCGUAGGUGAACCUGCGGAAGGAUCAUUAUUGUAUAACCGAGGUACGAGGGCUGUCGCUGACCCGAAAGGUCGAGCACGCCCGAGUGCCCUUACAUACAACAAACUCACCCCUAUGUACACAACCGAGUGAGUUCACCUUUGGCUUGAUCGGUGGGGGGCUUACCUUUUCACACAAUCUUUAACUGCAGUGUAGAAUGUAUUUCUUGUUUUUACGAUCCUGCCACCAAUACCACUUUCAACAACGGAUCUCUUGGAUUUCACAUAGAUGAAGAACG
rnacentral:misc_RNA from 1 species